rnacentral:misc_RNA from 1 species
AACAAGGCGUACCUGCGGACCUGCGGAAGGAUCAUUAUUGAUUUUUAAAGGAUGUGCUGGCUCUUCCGGAGCAGGUGCACUCCUAACAAAAAGCCAAUAUCCACCUGUGCACCUUUAGUAGGCAGGAAAAGACCUUGCCCAAGGGCUUUUUUUGUCUAUGUUUUUUUUUAUCAUAAACCCUUGAUCUAUUUGAAUGCUUAUACAACAAAUAAUAAUUUGUAACACAACUUUCAACAAUGG